rnacentral:rRNA from 1 species
AUGGCUACCACCUCCAAGGAAGGCAGCAGGCGCGCAAAUUACCCAAUCUCGAUACGAGGAGGUAGUGACGAUAAAUAACGAUGCAGGUCCUUCGGGGCUUGUAAUCGGAAUGAGCACAAAGUAAAUAUCUUAGCGAGGAACAAUUGGAGGACAAGUCUGGUGCCAGCACCCGCGGUAAUUCCAGCUCCAAUAGCGUAUAUUAAAGUUGUUGCAGUUAAAAAGCUCGUAGUCGGAAUCCACGGAAUACUAUAAAGGUCUCCGGCACGCACCGUUAAGGUGUGUGUUUCAAAUAUGGACACCGAGUAUUCCGUUACUUAUCGCUCAGUACAACUUCCUCUUCCCUUAAUUGGGUGGGGGAAGUGUCUGGGCCGUUUACCUUGAAGAAAUUGGAGUGUUCAAAGCGGGUCAAUAAUUUGCCAUCGAACAUAUUAGCAUGGGAUAAUACAACAUGAUCCUACCCUACAGCACAGGUCUGGUCGCUUGGGUGGGAUAAUGAUAGAUAGGGGUGAUGGGGGCGGUUGAUAUUCAGCGGUUAGAGGUGAAAUUCUUAGAUUCGCUGAAGAUCCACAGAAGCGAAAGCGUUCCGCUACGGCACUCCCUUUGAUCAAGAACGAAAGUUAGGGGAUCGAAGACGAUCAGAUACCGUCGUAGUCUUAACUAUAAACUAUGCGGACCAGGGGCUAGACCCCGUCCUUCUGUACGACUCGUCUAGAACCUUUGCGAGAAAUCAUUGAGUCUUUGCGUUCUGGGGGGAGUAUGGUCGCAAGGCUGAAACUUAAAGGAAUUGACGGAAGAUCACCACCAGGAGUGGAACCUGCGGUUUAAUUUGACCCAACACGGGGAAACUCACUCGGUCAGGACAUAGUGAGGAUUGACAGAUUGAUAGCUCUUUCUUAAUUUCUAUGGGUGGUGGUGCAUGGUCGUUCUUAGUUGGUGGAGUGAUUUGUCUGGUUAAUUCCGAUAACGAACGAGACCUCAACUUGUUAACUAGCGCUGGCAAUCUUCUAUUCGGGUGAAGCCUUCCGAGUCUGGGGUGAUGGCGUAAAAAACCAUUGCUCGGAUCGGAGGGUGGAUCCUUGAAGAAUUCGUCAGUAAAAACCUAGAUGCUUCUUAAAAGGACAAUCUGCGUCUAGCAGGGGGAAGGGAGGCAAUAACAGGUCUGUGAUGCCCUUAGAUGUCCGAGGCUACACGCGCGUUACACUGAUAGAAGCAAUGAGCCUCAACUAGCCUGGCCCGAAGGGGCUGGGGAAUCUUGCGAAACUCUAUCGUGACAGGGAUUGAUCAUUGCAAUUAUUGAUCAUGAACGAUGAAUUCCUAGUAAGCGUAAGUCACCAGCUUACGUUGAUUACGUCCCUGGUCUUUGUACACACCGCCCGUCGCUCCUACCGAUUGGAUGUUCCGGUGAGUUUGUUGGAUGGGGGGGAUCACAUCUGCUUCACGGCGGGUGCCCUCCCAGAAAACACGCAAACCUUAGCAUCUAGCGGAAGGAGAAGUCGUAACAAGGUC